rnacentral:rRNA from 1 species
GACGAACGCUGGCGGCGUGCCUAAUACAUGCAAGUCGAACGAGAGCGACCUGUUCUUGCACUGUGCAAGCGAGUGGCGAACGGGUGAGUAACACGUGUGUAACCCGCUCAUCAUAGGGGGAUAACAUUCGGAAACGGACUCUUAAACCGCAUAGGUCUUCGAACCGCAUGGUUUGAAGAGGAAAAGAGGCGCAAGCUUCUGCUGAUGGAUCGACCCGCGUUGUAUGAGCUAGUUUGUGUGGUAACGGCUCACCAAGGCCGUGAUGCGUAGCCGACCUGAGGGGGUGGUAGGCCACAUUGGGGCUGAACCGCGGCCCAAAGUACUGCGGGAGGCCGCAGUAGGGAAUGUGCCGCAAUGGACGGAAGUAUGACGGAGCAACGGCGCGUGAGUGGAGAAGGCUUUGCGUUCGUAAAACUGUGUUGUUAGAGAAGAACAAGUGCUAGCGUUACUGAUAGCGCAUUGACGGUAUCUAACCAGAAAGCAACGGCUAACUACGUG